CAGUCGGCCCUAGAGUCCCCGGCGCGCACUUAUCGCUCUAGAUAUCUUGGCGCUUCCGAGUCCCCAGGGACUGGGCCGUGGUGGGAGAGGGAAAAGCACUGGACUAGCGGCGAGGACGCUCCUCGGUGAGGCGGAGGAAGGCCGGCCUUGAGAUGUAAAGGGCGCUGACAUAUUUGGGCGUCUCUUACAGUGUCUCUCCUGGCUUCGGAGCCUCGCCUUCCGCCGACGGGGUUUGCCUGGCUGUGGAGGGAGGGAUGUGGGCCGAGUGGAUGGCCUGGCCUCUCCGGUGUGACAGGUCCGUCACCACCCACCCGUCCCCGGGGCCCGGCGGCCUUUAGCCUUCGGUGCGUGGUCGGGCUUGGCGGCUCCAGGGCUGGGAGUUACAGUCCUUCCCUUCCGUGAGGGCGGGAAGAGCGAAAUGGUUCUGCCCGACAGGACAAGCAUCUGAGCUCCUUUGGAAAGGACGCCCAUCUUUCAUACUGUACACUGGAAUUCAGAAAGAGCUAGAGGGACAAAUUGUAGACGUUUCCUAAGAAAAUAAAGGACUGGAAUUCAUGGAUUUGCUCAAACCUCUCCCUUGCUGCAGACACUGAGCCUGCACCACCUCUUCAGCCCACCACGGACGAGGCCUGUGUGUGUCUUUCAGGUGCGUGAAGACCUCAGGAGCCAAGAGAGUCAUAAAUGUGUUUUCUUGGAAUCGCACACUAAAAGUUCCAGAACAUUCAUGCAGUUUUCCAGGUCUUCACCUGUUGUCAGUUUGCACCAGCUGCUUCUCUCCACCUAACUCUGGGGUCCUUCCUGGGAAGUUAGUCCAACAGAGAAGCCACCACCCACAGGAAGUCCGGGCGCACGCUGAGCAGUGGACAGAGGCCGACACUUGAGGAUGGAAAAGAGAGGCCCUGGCUGAAGAUCUGAAAUAACACCGACCUUAGCGCAUCGUAGUUGUCUCUUCUGACUUGGCGAACACAUUUAAUCCGCCGCCGCCAGAACAGCUCCUCAUACGCCUAUCGGC